rnacentral:rRNA from 1 species
UACGUAGGGUGCAAGCGUUAAUCGGAAUUACUGGGCGUAAAGCGUGCGCAGGCGGUUAUGUAAGACAGAUGUGAAAUCCCCGGGCUCAACCUCGGAACUGCCUUUGAUACUGCAAAUCUCGAGUCCGGAAGAGGUGAGUGGAAUUCCUAGUGUAGAGGUGAAAUUCGUAGAUAUUCGCAAGAACACCAGUGGCGAAGGCGGCUCACUGGCCCGAUACUGACGCUGAGGUACGAAAGCGUGGGGAGCAAACAGG